rnacentral:lncRNA from 1 species
AUAAGGUAGAUGAUAUUCAUUUCCCACCAGGUGAAAGGUAAGUGUGUUAGUUUCCUAAGGUUAUUGUUAAGUAUAAGAAACUUGGUGACUUAACAGAAAUUUAUUCUCUCACAGCUCUCAAGUCUGGAAGUCCUAAAUCAAGCUGAGGGCUGAGCCACGCUUCUUCCAAAGCUUCCAGGAGAGGACCCUUCUUUGCCUCUUCCAGCUUCUGGAAAACAUUUCCAUCUGGCUUUCCUCUGUCUGACUUAAACAAUGAUUUUCCAUCCUACCUGAACAUUAUAAUCAUCUGGAAGAGUUUUUUAAAAUACAGAUGCUAUUGCUACACCCAUGGAGCUUGUGUCUUACCAUCUGAUAUGGUUUGGCUGUGUCCGCACUCAACUCUCAUCAUGAAUUGUAGUUCCCGUAAUCCCCAUGUGUCAUGGGAGAGGCCUAGUGGAAGGUAAUUGAAUUAUGGGGAAGGUUACCUCCAUGCUGCUGUUCUCAUGAUAGUGAGUGAGUUCUCAAGGGAUCUGACGGUUUUAUAAGGGGCUUUUCCCUCUUUGCUCUGCACUUCUGCCUGCUCCCACCACAUAAAGAAAGAUAUCUUUGCUUCCCCUUCCGCCAUGAGUGUAAGUUUCCUGAGGCCUCCCCCGCCAUGCUGAACUGUGAGUCAGUUAAACUCUUUCCUUUAUAAAUUACCUAGUCUAUGGUAUGUCUUUAUUAGCAGCAUAAGAAUGGACUAAUACAGCAUCUGUGAUUCUAUUCCAGUUUAGGAUGAGAUCCCCUGGUCUCUAAGAUGCUUCAAGAUAGCAGAUCCAGCAUUAACUCCUUCAAGUGUGAAAUCCUGACAGCUAAAUAGUUUCUUUCGUAAACAUAUCUUAAGCAUUUAGUGGCCUCCUUGUCCUUCAAGACUGUGUUAAGUGUUUCUUUUCAUACAAUAUGUUAGCCUUGUAUUAUAUAACCUGGACAGUUUAAUUCAACUCUAGUCGACUUUCUCCCUACCCCCACCUUUACUUUUAUCUCUGUCUCACUUAGACUGACCCCAUUGAGGAUGGGGGCUGUUGCCUUUAUCUCUGUGUCCCAUUUAUCUACUACAGGGCUCAGCACACAGUAUGCCUUUAAUGCAUUUAGUAAAAUAAUGACUUACUUCUCUAGUUUGAGUUUUCAGAAAAAGGAAAUUUCUCCUACUCUCAAUAUCUCAUAUUGGCCUGAGCCCUCAACCAAUUGAAAGCAAACAACAGCUAAAUUUCUCACUAC